AUCAACAAGAACAUAGACUAGAUUAACUACAUAUAAAUUAUACAAAAGUGCAAUUAGGGGAAUGGCAGAAUAGCUAGAUGCCACGCACCAGAAAAGAAAUGAUCUAGCAGGAGAGAAAUCCUGCUAGAUUAAAGAAAAGGGGGGAAUGAACAGUGAUGCAGGAAACUUAAAGGUAGUUUAUAGAAACAAGUAAAGGAAACUUAAAGGUAACAAGUAAAAGAAACAAGGGGCCUGGGAGAGCAGGGAGGAUGCAGAUAAGGACUGAGACCUCACGGACGACCAGAAGAGGAGUUGCAUUCCCCCUGAUAAGAACAAGAGGGGGUCAGCAUGCUAAAGACAAGAGGGGGUCUGUAUGCUAAAGAGCUAUUGAAUAUGUACCAGAAUUCCUAGAACUAUUGACUAUGUAUUAGAAGUCUAAGAAAUCAUUGAAUAUGUAUCAGAAUUCUGAGAAAUCAUUGACUAUGUAUUAAGUGUACCUAUAUUUGUGUCAUGAUUUUACAAGUCGGUGUGCAGGUUUGGAGGAGCUAUCCCCCUUGCACCCGGCGCUGCACAACGCUGGAAUAAACACACCUGCUUUAUAACCCA